UAACCAUGCUCUGGCUCGUUCCCUGGGUGCCGGGGAUCAAACUCUGGUCUUUGUGCCUACACACAAGUAUUUAAUCAGCUGAGCCAUCUCUCCAGCCCCAUCUGGCUUUUGCAACCUGGAGGUGCCCCAGGGAAGCAGGAUUUGGGCAGAAAUUGAUCCGACUGAAAGUUCGGUCUAUGGUUCCCAGCAGCUCCAGGAUCAGUGAGUUUGGGGGAUGCUGGGUAGGCUGAGGGUUGACAGCUGCCUUUACAGCAGGAUGUCUCAGAGCCUUGUCCUCUCAGGGCCUGCUCUGGGCCAGGCUCAGUGCCAGACCCUGUUUAUCACCAGGAAUCCAGGAGGCUGAUUGCAAAGCUGACUAAUUGCAGCACUGGAAGGGCUGCAGUAAAAAGCCCAGGAAGCUGAUAAUGCGUGGGCGGGGCUAGGGGUGGGAGCUGCAGAGGCCUGGUGAGAGUCAGCUGUGGUCCUGAGGAUGGGGGGGGCGGGGCAGCUUCAUCCUAAAAGCAGGAAGCUGGUGAUGGUUCUUAAGGGGUGUUGCCAUGACAGCUACUUUACAGAUGCUGGUGGAGUGGGCUCCUAUAAGACAAGACUAGAUGGGAGGAACCAAGUGAGGCCUUCCCUGGGCCCAGGAGAGGGGCUUGAAUGAAGAGGGCCGUGGACUGAAUUGGGUAACGCUGGAGGCUCAGCGGUGAGCCAGGGAUGCGUGGGAUGUUGAGCCGACAGAGGAACACAAGUCCAAGGGGUCACAUGGAGGCCAGCUGGAAACUACAUCUCCCAGCUUCCCCUGCAGCAGUGGUGGCCAUAGCAGUGGUGACAGCCAGCACCCUGGUGUUGCUCCUGAUUCCGGGGGACUCUGAGUGCCAGGAAUGGCCUUCAGGAAAUGAACCUGGUCCUGCCUUCACUAUGCCACUGACACAUCUUCCAGAAGAUACCACAAGAGGGAGAAAUUGACCGAUGGAGGAGGAGGCGCAGAGGUGCAGGAAGCAAGCAGAAAAUGGCCUUGGAGUGGGCAGCUGAUGAUGAUUUAGAGAAACACAAGCUACCUGGCCAUGGCAUUAAGACAAUACAAUGCAACUGCUAUGGAUUUGAUAAAAACUGAUUAAAUUUUAAUUUGGUUAAAUUAAAAUUUUAAUUUGAUUAAAAUUAAAUUUUAAUUAAAUACAAUUUAAUGUGUUGGAAUUGGCCUUAAUUUCAUGUGUUGGAAUGGCCCAGUACCACAGCAUUACAGAGCAGUAAGAAGGCCCCGGGCAGAUUCAGAUGCCAGACUGAGAGUCCAGCCUCCAGGUCAGCGAGAUGAAAUACACCUCUCUACUUUUUAAGA